UGGGGAAUCUUCCGCAAUGGGGGCGAAAGCCUGAUGCAGCGACGCCGCGUGAGCGAAGAAGUAUUUCGGUAUGUAAAGCUCUAUCAGCAGGGAAGAUAAUGACGGUACCUGACUAAGAAGCACCGGCUAAAUACGUGCCAGCAGCCGCGGUAAUACGUAUGGUGCAAGCGUUAUCCGGAUUUACUGGGUGUAAAGGGAGCGCAGGCGGUGCGGCAAGUCUGAUGUGAAAGCCCGGGGCUCAACCCCGGUACUGCAUUGGAAACUGUGUAGCUUGAGUGCCGGAGGGGUAAGCGGAAUUCCUAGUGUAGCGGUGAAGUGCGUAGAUAUUAGGAGGAACACCAGUGGCGAAGGCGGCUUACUGGACGGUAACUGACGUUGAGGCUCG
rnacentral:rRNA from 1 species